UUUUUUUUUUUACUUCAAUGGUUUAUUUGCGCGUUAGGCCCUUCCACAUUUUUCAAUUGUUUUAAUUCAGUUUUUUUUAUUUUUCAAUUGAUACUUUAAAUUUUAUUUCGUUUCCGAUUUAGUCUUAGUAAAACGGCGUGUUUUAGUGGACGGGGAUAUUUUCCCAUUUGGUCCCUCUGAGUUAUUCGCACCUUUGAAUUGGGUCCUG
rnacentral:lncRNA from 1 species